ACACACUCAUUACCCCUGACUGCUGGAAAGGCUACAUCAAGGAUUUCGUAUUCCGCCACGGAUUCCUCCUUGUGCAAAGGGUUCAGAUCUCGAGACGUUCAGAAAGUACCAGAUUUGGAGGAGAUGUUUGGGACUCUGAAAACGGGCAUUUUUGUUUUUUGAUGCUCUAGUUCUGUGAAGCAUGCCCAGAAGGGAAGAAACAUAACAGAUCUUCAAUUAAGGUUUGACAGUGACAUAAGUUUUGUUUCCAUCUGCAAUAGCUACAAGGAAAGAUGAACCGCAAAAGAGCCCGGUGGCAUGAAUUUACCUCCACCUUUCCAUCCAGACGGCCGGGCUACUUCCAUGUUCCUCAGUCGCGUACCAUCCCUUCCUGAUGACGACACCAUCACCCCAGGAUUCCCCGUUCCUCCCGACAUCCUUUCUGCCAUCCCUUCCUCCAUAAAUAUGCCCAUCCAUCUACCAGAAGGUGGCUUCUAAAUGUCUGCAGUUAAAAUAUCACUGUACAGUGUAUAACCUUGACCAAGCUACACUAUACGGGGACAGAUUCCCAACCCUUAA